rnacentral:lncRNA from 1 species
GUCUUUUUCUGUUCUGUAGAUAGGCUCAUCUGUGCCAAUUCUUUUUUUUUUUUUUUUUUUUGUCUUUUUAGGGCCACACCCAUAGCAUAUGAAGGUUCCCAGGCUAGGGGUCAAAUCAGAGCUGUAGCCACCCGCCUACACCACAGCCACAGCAGCCAGAUCCAAGCCAUGUCUGCAACCUACACCACAGCUCCUGGCAAUGCUGGAUCCUUAACCCACGGAGCAAGGCCAGGGAUCGAACCUGCAUCUUCAUGGAUCCUAGUCGGAUUUGUUUCUGCUGAGCCACGAGGCCAGCACCCAUCUCUGCCACAUUCUAGAUUCCACAUAUAAUAGCUCCUUGCCAUCUGCUUCUCCAACUUCAGCUUCAGGAACCUACUUUGGUUUUCGGGUGACCAAGAAAAUUUCUCCCUUUCUCAAAAGAAGAGUCAACCACACAGCGUACGUGCCUCACCAAGGAAUUCAUCUGAAUUUCUAGAUCUCUUGCUUACUUAGAGACAGAACUCAAUUAAUUAUGUGCCAAUUAGUUAUUAGUUGCCUAAGAAAUUGCAAAAGACUAUGCCCCAGGCUUUGAUGGAGCACAGUUUCUUAGUGCAGUUUCUCAAAAUAUAAAUCAAGGGCAAAGGUUUAUAAUCAAAUUUCAUAAGUUUAGAAAUCAGUUUUGCUUUGAAAUCAACAUAAUUUGAUCUCAGGCAUUUCUUGGGACUAGAGGAAACAUUUUUACUUCAUGUUGUUUGCCUAAAAAGAAGAGUCAAAAAAACAAAAACUCUCUGGAAGAUCUACAUUCCCCAGAUUCAUCUUAACUAGUGAAGAUGAACGAAAACAUCUGUCCAGUCCCCUCUUUAAAGAUCUUCGUAGGAGGAAUUCUGGGCAUGUGAAAGGAGUCAAGGUCACAGUGUAGGCCUCCGUCUACCAUCCUGCCAGGUCUGCAAGGAACUCAGGGCGUUGCAAGGAACUCAGUUCUGGCGUCCUGCUAAGGAUAAGUAGAAGGCAUUGACUCUUCACUAUGUGGUUGCUUUCAACAAAAUUUAUGAGAAAGCAAAAGGAAGUUUCUAAACUACUGCCAGAUGGCAAGAACUUGGAGCACUGAAAUGAGACUAAAACCCAAUCAGAAAGAAGCAUAACCUAUUUAGGACAAGACAUCGGGGCCUCUUGUGAAACUGAAGCAUUUCCAAAUCUUCUGUAAAGACAUAAAGUCUGACCAGACAAAAUUAUUUCCUAGGUGUAACAUUCAGAAAUCAAAGUCAUACCUGAGUGACAACAGUCUCCCAUUUGCUGUCUGUUCUUUGUUCUUAAGUGAGUUUCUUCUCUGUUGAAGCUGCUUUUGAAGUAU